AAACGAAUGGCAGAUUUCGAAAAGAUUUUGUUCUUUAUGCCAUUUUCUGUACCUACCAAUUUAUACCCAGUGUUCUAUCAUCGUUUCUACUACGAGAAACUUAUUGAUUCCCUAACUGUUUUCAACGAUGGAGUGAGUUGGCUAUUCUCGGAUUUUGAAACUUAGAGUUACUAAGCUUUUCCAAAUUGACAAAGAGGCAUGCACCUGAAAUUAUAUUGAUGAGAGUGCAGGUUAUUUUAUUCUUCGUUGUUUUUUGUCAUUUUACAAAUUUGUAAACAAAUCCACAAUUUAC